GGCCACAGCCAUAUUACCCUGCAGCCCAAGACCAGUUACUCACUGAAGUUAAGCAGGGCUGAGCCUGGUCAGUAAGUAAGUAGUAAGUAGUACCUGGAUGGGAGACCACAUGGGAAAACUAGGUUGCUGUUGGAA
ensembl:rRNA 5S_rRNA 5S ribosomal RNA